rnacentral:misc_RNA from 1 species
AACAAGGCGUACCUGCGGACCUGCGGAGGGAUCAUUACAAGUGACCCCGGUCUAACCACCGGGAUGUUCAUAACCCUUUGUUGUCCGACUCUGUUGCCUCCGGGGCGACCCUGCCUUCGGGCGGGGGCUCCGGGUGGACACUUCAAACUCUUGCGUAACUUUGCAGUCUGAGUAAAUUUAAUUAAUAAAUUAAAACUUUCAGCAACGGAUCU